UACGAAGGGGGCUAGCGUUGCUCGGAAUUACUGGGCGUAAAGCGCACGUAGGCGUCUUCUUAAGUCGGAGGUGAAAUCCUGGAGCUCAACUCCAGAACUGCCUUCGAUACUGGGAAGCUCGAGUCCGGGAGAGGUGAGUGGAACUGCGAGUGUAGAGGUGAAAUUCGUAGAUAUUCGCAAGAACACCAGUGGCGAAGGCGGCUCACUGGCCCGGUACUGACGCUGAGGUGCGAAAGCGUGGGGAGCAAACAGG
rnacentral:rRNA from 1 species